GGGGCAGUAGCUCAGUGGUAGAGCUCCAGCUUCGUAUGCUGGAAGACCUGGGUUGGAUUUCCGGUGACCUG
rnacentral:tRNA from 1 species